UUGUUUUGAAGUUCUACAAGAGA
rnacentral:piRNA from 1 species